ACAGUUUGUCCUGAACAUGGGAUCAAACUUUUCCCCAUAGUUUAUCCUAAACAUGGGAUCAAACUCUUUUGGUUGCAAAUCGUCCUGAACAUGGGGUGAACUACGUCGACCUGAUCUCCCCGAUACCUGCGAGUACGUAAGCAACCAUUUUAUAUGGCCCGGUCGCAAUAAAAUAAAAACAACAAAAACAUUUCUAUACCCUUCUCUAUAAACAAAAACAACAAAAACAUUUCUACACCCUACACCAUUCAGCGUUGAACCUCUUACACCAGGUUCGAACUACACAGACCUGAUCUCCUCUUCAAUAGGAGUACGUAG
rnacentral:lncRNA from 1 species